rnacentral:tRNA from 1 species
CGCGGGGUAGAGCAGUUUGGUAGCUCGUCGGGCUCAUAACCCGGAGGUCGUGGGUUCAAGUCCCACCCCCGCAACCA